rnacentral:lncRNA from 1 species
GAGAUGCGCAAGCGCGAGCAUGGAGGUUUGCAGCCAACCGUUAAGGCUGCCAUAGCGGUUCCAGAGUCCGUUACCAACAUCAAAGUGUCUUCAAGAGUUCUACCUGACCCCUGCCAGCACAGAGGAGGUGAGCCGCUCCCAGCUCACAAGAGGAGGCUUCCAGCGCACCACACCACCCUUGCCAGCACAGAGGAAGUGAGCUUCGCAGGCGCCAGCAGCAAACAGCCCCCCACCCCACCCCCCAUUGAUAUGAGAAGACACAUAAACAAGUCUCAAAAGCACACUUCCAGAUCACCUACAACAACCCCAAAGGGAAAUGAGAUGGAACAUUCUGAUACUCAACCACCUGGACUCCCUGAACUGGUAACAAAAGAGGAUCUGGAAAAAAUGAAAUCAGAAAUAAUUUCUCAGAUAACAGCAGAGAUUGUGCUCAUAGUGCAAGACGUGAUUAAUAAAUCUAGAGAGGAGCUAUGAGUUUAUAAAAUAGAGUACUACUCAGCCAUAAAAAAAUGAGAAAUUAGACAUUUAUAGAUAAAUGGAUGCACAUUGAGGCGAUACUCUUCAGUGAAAUAAGUAGGACACACAUGAGUAAAUACCGAAUAGUUUCUCUAGUGUGAGAAACUCAAAGUGUAAAUAAGGACUAAAAGGUAUAAUAGAUAAUGUGAAAUAGGAAGAAAAGGGGCAAAGGGGCAGGGGAAGUGGGAGGGGUAGGGGAAAGGAUAGAAGGGAAUGGAAUUAAUAUAAGAAAAUGAAAAAUUGGAAACAAAGCCUUUGUAAAUAGGCAGGGAUGGAGGUGUUGAAAGGAGGUCAGGGGAAGGGGGAAAAAAUAAGAACCAAGAGAGAUUAUGUAAAGGUGCAAAUUUCCAAUGAUGAAUGUCAUUAUAUUGUAUACCUAAAAUGUACCAAUAAAAUAAUAUUUUAGAAAAAAAGUACUACCUGACCUCUCUUCCAGCUGGUUUAGUGUUUCUGUUUUAACAUGUAGAUCUUUAAUCCAUUUCGAUUUUAGUUUAGUGCAUGGUCAGAGAUAUAGGUCUAGUAUUGAUCUUUGGAAAGCUGAAACCCAGUUUUUCCAGCACCAUUUAUUAAAGAGGCUAUCUUUCCUCCAGUGGGGGUGUUUGGCCCUUUGUCAAAGAUGCGGUGGCUGAGUGUAUCUGGAGAUGUUUCUACAUCUUCUAAUCUGUUCCACUGGCCCUUGGGUCUGUUUCUUUGCCAAUUAUGCUGUUUUUAUCACAGUACCCUUGUAGUCUAGUUUCAAGUUGGGGAUUGUGAUACCCUACCUUGUCUUUGUUACCAAGAAUUGCUUUUGCUAUUCUAGGUCUCUUGCGGUUCCAAAUUAAUUUUUGGAUUGUUUUCUCAAGGUCCGUGAAGCAUGCUGUUGGAAUUUCAAUUGGGAUUGUAUUGAAUCUAUAUAGCAGUUUUGGAAGUAUGGCCAGUUUCACUGGGUUCUUCCUACCCGGGAGCAAGGGAUGUCUUUCCAUUUUCUGAUAUCCUCUUCAACCCCUUUUUGUAGAGUGCUAUAGUUUUCAGAGUCUUAUUCAUUAGGUUUGUUCCUAGGUAUUUCAUUUUUUUGGAUGCUAUUGUGAAGGGAGUUAUGUUUCCAUUUCCUCUCUCAUUGAGUCUGUUGUUCACGUGCAGGAUGGCUGUUGAUUUUUUUGUGUUGACCUUGUAUCCAGCUACUCUACUGAAUUUGGUUAUUAAGUCUAGAACACUUUUGGUGGAGUUCUUGGGGUCUUCUAUAUAGAGUAUCAUGUCAUGUGCAAAUAUUGACAAUUUAACUUCAUUUUCUAUCUUUAUUCCUUUUAUUUCUUUCUCUUGUCUAAUUGCAGUGGCUAAUGUUUCCAAAACUAUAUUGAACAAGAGUGGUGACAAUGGACAUCCUUGUCUUGUUCCUGAUUUUAGCAUGAAGGAUUUAAGGGUUUUUUACCAUUUAAUAUGAUAUUGGCUGUUGAUUUUUCAUAGAUGGCUUGUAACAGACCGUCUAUUGCAAUUUUCUUCAGGGUUUUUAUCAUAAAUGGGUGUUGGAUUGCAUCGAAUGCUUUUUCUACAUCUAUUGAG